GCCCGGCGAGGGAGGGCCGAGGCCCGAUGCGGUGUGGCCGAGGGGCCCGGGCCCAGGCCAGGCCGGGGCGAGGCGAGGCGAGGCGAGGCGAAGCUCCCCACCGGGCCCGGCCCGGCUCAGCCCUGCCCGCCGGCCUCCUGCUGCCGCCGCGAGAGGCCGCCCGCGCGCGCCGCUCCGCGCUCUCCCGCGCUGGGAGUAAAGGCGGGAGGGCGCGUGCGGGGCGGGGUCGGGGUCGCCGCGCGUCGGCCCGGGGGUCGCCGGCGGGCGGGGGGCGGGCGGGAGCGCGGCCUUGUAUGUAGGAGCGGCCGGGAGCCGUCCUGGUAUCUGCACCAGGAUGGCCGAGUGGUUAAGGCGUUGGACUUAAGAUCCAAUGGACGUAUGUCCGCGUGGGUUCGAACCCCACUCCUGUUCCAAGCGCUUUGGCUACUUUGAAGGCUGUGUGCCAACCUGCCGCAGUGCUUUUACAAGGUGGAGGCGAGGGGUAGUACCAUUGUGUUCUAGUAUAUUGAAAGUGCGGGAAGUACAAAUCAAGCGCAGACUGACACGUUUUAAAAUAUUAGUGUUUGCCAAGAGCAUCCUGGUCAAAUUCUAAUACAGAGAACUUCCCUCAGUCCUUUGGUGAAGCUGUGUUCCCUGUUUUUUAUAAUGGCUUGUUAGAGCACUUGCAGAUCUGGAAUGGAACAGAAGAUUUUUGAACCUUCCCUGCUCUCAAGAAAUAUCCAUAGAAUGUGCUGGCAACAAGUACGUCCCAACCCCUUCCUACGCUUCUCCAGAAAGAAAAGGAUAAUCUGCUGGGGUUAUUGGUUUCUAUUUCAGGUGAAGUGGCAGGGUGGCGUACUGUGUUUCAGCGCUGGAGCUGACUGUGAUUUGAUUUAAGAUUUUUAUUUUAUUGAGCAGAAUGGCAGCGGCUGGAAGGCCCCUCUGGAGAUCAUCUAGUUCACCCCCCAGCUCAGAGGAGGGUCAGCUUGAACAGGGGGGUUUUGAAGGAUGAAGACUCCACAACCUCUCUGUGCAACCUAUGCCAGUGUUUGACUACCCUCACAGUAAAAAAAAUUUCUUCCUAAUGUCUUAAAGUUAAGUAUUUUCUUGCGUUUAAGGCAUUUUCUUAUGUUUAAACUUAAACUUACAGAUCGGUCUGCUUGUAAAUCUUAAAUGAUUGUAUGUUUUCUCUGUACCUAGAUUUUUGUUCCUAAAGAUCCCAAAAUAAAAUGAAGGAACUACAAACGCCGUAACAUAACAAGGACACCCACUGGAUACAUGGGUUUGCUGCCAUGCAUGUUUUACCAAGGGCUCAGUUGAGAGAAGAGUAAAAUCCCUGCAAAGAUCUAAGCAGGUGCUUCAUUUUAGAUACUGAAAGUGAGUCUUGAAACUUUUUUGUCCAAAUAAAGGCCAUGGGUGCGCAAUAUUUUGUUUAUAAAUAUGUAAAGUUAGCUUCCUGUAAGAAAUGAGCACCUGUGUCUGGCCUUAGCUUAUUGAAAGCCAGAGUCCUGUUAGAGCAUUACUCAUUGGAAGACCGUUCUGGUAGCAUGAUUGAAGUUCAUGAUCUGCAGGUUAGACUACUGUAAUUUGAUCCAAGUUUCCCUUUAAAAUGGUCUGGGAGCUACAGCAUUAACAAAUUACAUGUGUCUGUUGAGUUGAGGGAGGGUAAUGCGACUAAUAGCACUCACCUUCACCAAGUGCUGUUGUCUGGCAACCCAAUAUGUACAGGUAAAAAUUCUUAUUCCUGUGCUUACAUAGGUGUUAGCAGUCUCCCUCCUGAAUGAUCUUUGCUUACUGGCUGUGGCUAAUUAUUCCUUGCCCUCGAUCCAGGGGCUGCUUCUGAACAAGGAAUUGGAAAGAGUCAGCAUAGUUCAGAAAUCCCAUUUAUGUAAUGCUUUCCAAAUCCUUUUGUUACUGUAUUCAGAACAGAAAGAAUUGAUUUGUUUAAUUACUAUGACUUCUAUUUUUUUAUCAUAAUAUUUUGGAUUCUUUUUUUGCUUUGCUGUGAGAAGAGCUGAUUUCUUGGCUAAAUGUAGUUUUAAUUGUUAUGUGGCUAGCUUAAUAGCCAUGGUUUCCACAAUCUGUAUUUUGAUAGCACUGUGACAGUGCAGGUUACAUCUAUGCCAGCUAACAAAUCCUAUAGUGUUCUGUGACUGCAGACAGACUAAGACAUGCCCAGCCUGUUGUACUGCAUUCAUUUGGGUGACCUGCCCCAAAAGUUAUUUGACACAUCAGUAAAGAAGAAAUACUGAAAGCAACUGGAUCCAGUUUUUGUAAUGUCUCUGCCUGCCCAGCCCCUCUGAACAAAAUAUUUUUCUGCAAAACAGAAUUAUCGGGUAAGAUAAGCAUUGUAUGGUACAAAUGCAUGAGCCAAAUUUCUUUGAGAGGAGAAAGCAGUUAAUGCCUCCCGAUAGGCAGUACAGAGGGAUGUCGUGGAUGAGAUAAGGUUUCUGCUCUGUAUGAAAUUGUUAGGGAGAGAGCUCAGCCAUCAACACAAGAAAAAGGACCUGUGUGACAAAGACGGUAGGUGUCUUUAUCCAGCUGAAAUAUUAACAAACUUGAGAGUGUUCUGAAAUAUGAGAUAAGAAUGGGGUGGGAUUGGGCAUCUCAGAACUGUCAUUAAAAUGCUCUAAAAACAAAAGUUGUUGUCGUUAGAGAUUCUUUUCCUAUGCCUCUUUAAGUAGAGUUUCAGAGUGUUGCUGUUUGAGGUUGGGCUCUGCAGAGACUAUGUCAGGAGAUCUUAGGUGCAUGGUGGUACCCACAGCCUCUAUGGGUCCUCCAGGGCCAGAGUUAGAGACAAUGCCUCAUAUUCACCUGGGAGUCCUUAACAGACUUGUGUCCAUAGCCAGGAGUGGACCUAGAUUGUAAUGUUGACUAGCUUAGAAUGUUGUUUUAUUUUUUUAACAAAAGUUACUGUAUCAAGGGAAUCUUAACUGUCAAACUGUGCUGUGUAUGCUUUGCAUUGUACAUUGUUUCCUUUUAUGAAAUGUUUGUCGUUAACAGCCUUGGCAUGCCUGCUUCCCAGGUAAUAAGUAUAUUCUGGCAUAAUUAAUUAAAGCAAUUCCACUUGUCUCAGGCAAAACCUCAGAACUGGAACUGACCGAGAAGUUGCCAACUGCUAUUUAUCUGUAAACCAGUUUGUCAGGUACUAUCUUUCUGAAUCACCAUUCCUGACACCCCUCUGUAUUAACAUUCACAGUGACCUGCUCAGGUCCAUAGGUCAUUACUUUGGCAACUGUAAAAAAUUAGUUAUAAAAAAUGACUGUAUGUUUUCAUCUUAUUUUUUUAGCUCAUUACAUACAUUCAGCUAAAAAAAGGGGGUCGGAGAAAGCAAUUUGAAGACUUGUGUUUCAUCUGUGUGAAAAUCCAUGGGAAACAGUAUAACUUAGUUAAUUCUUAACAAGGUAGCUGACUUCCCAUAGCAAGGCAUCUGUAUGGGAUGUACUUCUGAGGAUAUACCUAGUUAGCUCCGCGAACACUGGCUGCAGCAGCUGUAAAUUCAUGGAUCCUGAUCCUGUUGCUGCCGCUGUGUAAGCAGAUUGUUUAGCACUGGAGUUUUGGACAGUCACAGAAGCCUGGUUGUAUAAUUAACGUUGUAGCAUCUGCGCAAUAGUUAUACACUUAAAAUUACUGUGCCUCAGCGUCGCUAUUGAUCUUCAAACCAGCACAAAAUUAAACUGAAAAUACAAGCAGUUCAGGCAAAAAAAAAAAAAGUCUAUUAAGGCCCGUAAAGAGUACAGGAUAACUAUGGGGGAUUCCAGGGCAAGGGCAGGACUACAGUGUCUUUCCUAUCUCACAGGAGUGUUGUAAGAUGCAUCUUACUGUUAUGUGAUGGGAAGGGUCAUAAAUCUGUAUGGAUAAAAUGAAAUUAUGCAUAAGCAGUUAGCCUCUGCAGAAGAAGAGACAUAGGUUGCAAACUCUUUGGAAAGCCCUUCUCCCGUGCCUCCAAAUCAUUUAAAUCACAGCAUGUUCUUUGGGGAACAUUAGAGUUGUAAAAACUAGCCUGGCUAUGACUUUAUGUAAGGGAUAAAUUAAGUACAACUAUUAACUCUUGACUGUUGGGAAAACAAAGGCCCAGUUUGCAUUAGCAAGGUUGACCGGGUGAUUUCUUUUGGAAAAACACUUGGUUCCUUUUCUCUACAUUUUACAAAAAUUAAAAUGUGUGGUGUUCACUUGG